CGUAGGUGGUUCGUUAAGUUGGAUGUGAAAGCCCCGGGCUCAACCUGGGAACUGCAUCCAAAACUGGCGAGCUAGAGUAUGGUAGAGGGUGGUGGAAUUUCCUGUGUAGCGGUGAAAUGCGUAGAUAUAGGAAGGAACACCAGUGGCGAAGGCGACCACCUGGACUGAUACUGACACUGAGGUGCGAAAGCGUGGGGAGCAAACAG
rnacentral:rRNA from 1 species